ensembl:lncRNA
UUUGUAUGUGUACUUUGAGUAUGUUUAACAAUCCACUUCCUUCAGUGAAUUCUCUCCCAUCUUCAUUUGUAAAUAGAAAAAAAACAUUUUAGGAUUAAAGGAUAGUAGCCUUCUGCUGAAUAGUGGCAACUAUUGUCCCAACUCUGCCCCAAAAUGUCAAUAUGUGUGUUUUGCAUAUUUGAAGAUCAGUAUUUUAUUUCUGCAUUUUAUUGGAGGGGAAAAGUAUAUGUUCUAAGUCAGAGCUAUUGAGUGAAUCAGGAAAUUCCAUAUAAGCUUUAGAUCCUUUUUUAUUUUAAGGCCAUGUUAAACAGUCUAUAUAUAAAUUAUUUUUCAUCUUUCAAGAUAGUUGAUUGUUUUAUGUUUCAGAGUAUUAAAAAAUCAUUUGACAAGCCUUUGUAAUGAUUAAUUUAUGGUUUGCCUUAAAGAUACAUGUUCUCUAAAAAAUUAUUUCAUAAAACAAAGUGCUCAAAUUCUCUGUAGAAUUUGUCAGAUUACAGAAUAGUAAAAUUGGGUUAAUGAUGCUAAUGAAAUCUUAGUCAUCAAAAUUGGUAUAGUUAGCCUUUGCCAAAAUUAUCAUCUUAAUGAUAGAUUUGCAUGUUCAAGAAAAUGAGUAACAGAUGAAUGAUCAUUCUGAGUCACUAGAAUUAAAGAGUCCACCUUUCCCCGGCCCCUCCCCCCCCCCCCCCCCCCCCCCCCCCCCCCCCCAAUUUGGUAGAAUUCAUUUUGAACCAGACAGCGUUUUUAUUUUAGAGAUAUACUACUUCCACAGUACUGUUUAGUAGUGAAUUAGCUUGGAAAAAACUGUAAAACUAGCAUUGUCACAGUUUGAAAAGCUGAUUUGUAUGAAAUAAUAAGUAGUAUAGAGCUGGAAAUGUGAGUAAAGUUUUUUUGCUUCUUAAUUUGAAAAAAUGUAUUGGUACCGUUUACAGUUGUUAUAUAAAUGAAUUCUUGAAGGUACACUACUAUGAUGUUGAAUAUGACUUAUAAAAAGAAUGGUAUGUAGAAAUAAGUGUAACGUGGACAAUAGCAGUGAGAAUGCCUAAUUUUUUUUUAUUGUUUCAAUGUAGGAAACUAUCAUAAAUCAUUUUUCCCAAAAAAAACUUAAUUGACUACUUGAUUCUCUACUAAAAGACUGAUUUCAUUCUGAGUUGCAUUGUUUGUAGAUUUUUAGUCCUAUGUUGCCUUUUUGUCUUCCCUGAUUUCAUUAAUUUUACCAAAGAAAUUUACAGACCAAAUAUGAUUUUUAAAUUAUCUUGGAUUUGUACAAUUCUUCCUUCCCCCCCUUUUUUUUUUUUAAUUUGGAAAAAAAGUAAACGGAAUAGAUUUUUUGAAAUAUAGAUUAUCUAUAGAUAUACUACACUUGGGGGUCUGGGUAGAAUUCUUAGAGAUUUCUAUUCUUUUUUCUUUACUUGAAAUAAAUUGAUUUUUGUCCUUAUUCUAAUGGUGAUUUCUAUUAAUUUUAAGCUAACUUAAAAUAUAUAGAAUAGAAGAUCUGAUUGUGUCUAUGAAACAAAGUAAGAAUUAGAAAUAUUUUUCAUAAGAAAGUCAUAUAGAAGAUAAAGCCAUUUUCAAUAAAAGAUACAUAUAAAUUCAUAUGUUAUUGCCUACUGAAGACUUCUCAUGGCACAUGUAAUGUGACAUCUUUUCUAUGUCUUUUCACCAAUUUAUGUAGGAGACUAAAGAUCCUACAAUAUGCCAAUUUUGAAUAGAACAAUUUAAAAAUCAGUAACUCAUCUUCAAACUGAGAGGUAGAGCCUCCAAGAAAAAUAAGAAUUGGCCUCAGGCCAUGGAUGAGCUCAGAAGGGACUUGGAAAAUCAAGUAAGAGAGAGAGAAGAAAAAUUAGGGGGGAAAAAAGGAAAAAGAAAAAGCUAAUGAAGAGAAUGCCAUAAAAAAAUUGGCCAUUUAGUAAAGGAGGUACAAAAGCUCACUGAGGAAAAUAAUUUCUUAAAAAAUAGAAUUGAAGGGCAGCUAGAUGGUGCAGUGAAUAGAGCACUAGCCCUGACAUUAGGACAUAAUUCAAAUCUGGCCUCAGAUACUUAACACUUCCUAGCUGUGUGACCCUGGGCAAGUCACUUAACCCCAAUUACCUCAGCCCCUACCCACCAAAAAAAGGAAGAAAGAAAAAAAAUUGAAUUGAACAAAUGGAAGCUAAUGAUUAUGAGAUAUCAUAGAAAAUCAAGAUACAUUAAAGUAAAAUCAAAAAAAAGAAAAAAAAAUUGAAAUAUCAAAUUGGAAAAAUAACUGACCUGGAAAAUAGAUACAGGAGAAAUAAUUUUAAAAUUAUUGGUCUUCUUGAAAGUCAUGAUAAAAAAGAGCGAGAGUGAGAGAACUUGGACAUCAUCAUCUUUCAAAUUGAGAGGUAGAGUGGAUGGAUCUGAGCACUAGGCAUAUUAAUACUCCCAGACAACUUGCUAUAAUCAAGUUAGAGAUGAUUAGUUCAUCAUCAACCUUCAAGGAGGUCUUCAUACCUCAUCACUACACUGAUGAAAUCAGAUCUGGACCAAAAAACACCUUAUUAAUGUGACAUGCCACAGGAAAGUCACAGAAAUGGACCUCUUUAAAUUAGCACUCACAAACAUUUCUGCUAGAUUUGUUUGUGGCAUAUGGGGGAAUGUAAUUGGUAAAAUGGGUAAUUUCUUCACCUAUAAUUUAUGAGUAAUUACUCAGGAUUUUUUUUUCUUUAUAGUUAUCUUGAGCUAAGAAUUAUUUAUGUGUAAUGUGAGCUGAUUGGAUUAUUACUCUUAAAUCUGCCAUUUUAACUAGUCAUUUUAUUAAAAAUAAGAAAUGUGAUCAAGAAAAUAAGAUGCUGUACUCAAGUCGCUUCUGCAUACUGUUUUUCCUUAACAGAGAAAUUAGAAAAAUGAUUAAUGGUUUGGUAAGUUUAACCAGACCAUUUUGAAGCUAUAAAUAGGUUUGUUUUCUAGACAUUAGGAGGGUAUUUUUUUUUUUAAGUUUUAUUAAGAAAACUGUACUGAGAAGUAUGCCCCUCAUGUGGUCUUUUUAACAUUUGUAAUAAAUUCAUAUACUUUACAAUGAAUCUUUUUGAUUCUUAUCCUUGAAAUUAUACUGGAUUUACAUUCAGUUUGACUAGCUAAGAGAUACAGUCUUUAAUGGUUAAAAGAUUAUUUUCAUACUUGUUUCUCAUGCUAGUUUGGCUCUUCUGAGCUAAGGUUUCUGAAGGACUUUUAUGACUUUGGCAUUGUAUAGUUUUCUCUGUCUUAAUAGAAAAGGAAGCAGUAAAUAAACCCUUGCUGAGAAUGUUUAUUAGAUGAAAAGAUGUGGACCAUGUUAAAAAAAAAAACAAAAACAAAUAAACCCUUAUUUUUCACCAGCAUUAAAUUGAUGGUUGCACUAACCUGCUUAACUAUUUAAGAUUUAUUGCUGGUGAAAAUUUAUCUAAAAAAUGAGAUCUCUUCUGUGUGAUGUCCCUUAACGUAGGACCAGUAAAAAUCUUCAUUCUUUUAGAACUGAGGGUGACACACACAUUGAAGAUCAUGUGCAUGUAAGCCAUUAUUUUAAUAAUUGUCUUACUGAAACUGGUUAAUGCUAUUGACUGUUGUUGAAAUGUGAAAUAUAUUUACUGUUGACCUUGUAAAUAUCUGCCAGAGAUUUAAAAAAAAUAUUUUAAGUCAUUGUAAAUAGAGAUGUAAAAAAUUCAUUAUCAGUCUGCCAAGCAGAAAAGAAUAUCUAAAAAAUGUUAAAUAAAUAUUGUGUUUCUGGAGAGCUGUGUACUUUUUUUUUUCCCUGAAUAAACCUUAUUUAUGUAUGUGGAUUUUUUUUUUUUUUUUAAAUAUAAAGGGACUCAAUGCUUCCCUUCAGCUAUCAGUGUUGAUUUCUUGUAUUUGAAUCUUCAUUACGUCCUCUUAAGAUAUUCUUAGUUUAUUUAUGUAAAUAUCCUAGAACUUUCUUAAUCCCUCUACUAUAGCCU